UUUCCCGUGAGAAAACAGUCGGAACAGCAAGCAUGUUACCGACUCGUCACAUUCCCCCACACAGCCUGAGCUAUGUAACACAUUUCGAGAAAUGCCGAAACACAGACUCCCUUACACACCUCCACCCUCCUCCUCCUCCUCCAUACUCACACACACUCACACACACAAUCUUACUAUGCCUCUGUGGAAAUGGGAAUUUCCAGUAUUGUUACUGUUAUCAGUCUAUCAGGACUCAUUUAAUGAGUAAUUCAUUUUAUUUUAUACAGAUUGCAUUUUACAAUACAAAUCAAAUAUUCAUCUUUCACUUCCCUCUUUGAUUGUUACUGAUGAUGCUGUGCUAGGAGCCAAAUGAAAGCAACAACCAGGCUCAACUACACUAAACAAAUGGAAACUGAAUUAAAAUUAAGUUCAACUUUCUAAUAAGACAUAAAAGGCUUAUAAGUUGUAACUAAUGGCUUUAUUCAUAAUAAUAAAUAAUUUGCUAAUGCAGGAUCAAUCAUAUGCCUUUGAUUAGGACAGCAUUUGGGUCACCAGGCUGGGGAGAUCCCUUGGAUUACCAACAUCAAAACUGCAUCACUACCUUGUAGGUAGAUGGGUAAUUUAUGAGGAGGACAUGGGUAUACUCUUCUGUAUAUUCCAAUGGCUUUUUUGGCUGAUCGGUGGUAUACAGAAAACAGCCAGAAAAGAGGUAUAUGUAACAGGGUCAAUUGGGCGUACCCCACCUUUAAAGGGGUGUUUCCCGCCUUGCCUCUCCCCAUUUUGCUGUUGUACUCCAUGAGAGAGGUAAGCGACAUCGCUAUUGUAGUAAGUUCUGUGUUUUAGCACUGUUAAGCUGUUUAUAAGUUAAUUUCUCAGCCUAAACUUAUUGUAUAGGGCCUUGCAUUAUAUGGUCGUAGCUGACGGAGGAUUUUGUUUUUACCUUUUGCUGUCAUGUAUGUUUCCUUUUUUUGUUGUUGUUGUACUUAACUGAAUGUAACAUGGCCACCCUUUUGCUCUCUGAUUGGUCUGAGAUAAUUAAGAUGGGCAGGACAGAGAUUCAAAAAACCACUGGCCCAAAACCUUUCAAGAGGGAGCCAGGACUAUGCUAACUUCCCCCUACUGAAUGACCUGAGAGUCCCCAGAUUUAAAAAAUUUCACCACAAACACGUCUGAAGCCCAGACACCAGCGACCGCAGAGGGAGUCUGACCUGAGUCUAAUUCUGUCACCGUACCAAAGGAAGUCUGAGCUGCUGAUGUGCUGUUUGACCUCAUGUGCUCCUUCGCCAUGUGAAGUAUUUACAGAGCAGCAGAGCCUCUGACCUGCUCCCCUUAUGCCCCCCUGCCGUCACCUGGCUCCUCUCAAGCGACCUGACAGGAGGAACACUCUGUCUGUCCACACACUGCUUCCUCAAGGAGCCACACAUUCCUCCAUCUCUGAUUACAAUCUUCAAGACCUUUAUUUCCUCAUUACUUGUAAAUUACCCAUAGGGGCUAAAUGAGCAUCUCUAGUGGAUCUUUUGGUAGUGCCUUACUCAGUGGGAGCUUCAGUAGUUGUUGAAACAGGGGUAGG